UUCUGUUGGAAAAGUUAUGGACAUUGAUCUUCAAAUCCCUAACUCUGUCAUUUAAUUGGGAUUAUGUGAGGUUUGUGGAAUCUGGAAAAUUGAAGCUUUGGAGAAGAGAUGAGCUACUGGGUCAGUUUCGAUUGAAAUCAAAUAAGGAAUUUGAAUGGUUGACAGUGGUGGAAUACAGCUACGGUGAGUUCGCUUCUAAUUUGGAGAAGAAAGGAACUAUUGGUUCAGUCAAAUUGGUAUCGGGAUUGAGGUCCGAAUGGGUUGAUGGUGGUGAAGUGCAGCUAUGUUAAAUCGACCACUAGUCUGGAAGUGAAGAAUGGUAAGGGCCUGGGUUUGGUGAUCUUAUAAUGUUGUGGUUAAACGAAAUAUUGAGUUGGUGGUGAUAUUGAUAUGUUGUUUAGUGGAAUGGGAUUGAUGUGAAACUGUCCUUGGUUGAUUUAAUUUAUUAGAGAGAUUAAUGUUGGAUUGGUGAUGAAUAAGAGUAGUUGCUCCAGACGGUAAACAAUGACAAUGUCUAUAACUAUCAUUCCGGAUACCACGGUUGUAAGAAAAGAAGUAAGAUGGUGAUUGUUAACAAAAAUGUAAAUUGCUCAAGUUCAUAAGGAAUUGGUAUCCGAAAUGAAGUUAUAUUGGCUAUUGAUCAUUGGGCCGAACUUAAUAAGAAAUUCGUUUAGUAAAUACUUUGACGAUUAA